UACGUAGGUGGCAAGCGUUAUCCGGAUUUACUGGGUGUAAAGGGGGCGCAGACGGCGAUGCAAGCCAGGAGUGAAAGCCCGGGGCCCAACCCCGGGACUGCUCUUGGAACUGCGUGGCUGGAGUGCAGGAGGGGCAGGCGGAAUUCCUGGUGUAGCGGUGAAAUGCGUAGAUAUAUGGAGGAACACCGGUGGCGAAAGCGGCUCUCUGGCCUGUAACUGACACUGAGGCUCGAAAGCGUGGGGAGCAAACAGG
rnacentral:rRNA from 1 species